UUUAACUGAAGAGUUUGAUCAUGGCUCAGAUUGAACGCUGGCGGCAGGCUUAACACAUGCAAGUCGAGCGGGGGAAGGUAGCUUGCUACUGGACCUAGCGGCGGACGGGUGAGUAAUGCUUAGGAAUCUGCCUAUUAGUGGGGGACAACAUCUCGAAAGGGA
rnacentral:rRNA from 1 species